rnacentral:rRNA from 1 species
ACUCCUACGGGAGGCAGCAGUGGGGAAUAUUGCACAAUGGGCGCAAGCCUGAUGCAGCCAUGCCGCGUGUGUGAAGAAGGCCUUCGGGUUGUAAAGCACUUUCAGUCGUGAGGAAGGUAGUGUAGUUAAUAGCUGCAUUAUUUGACGUUAGCGACAGAAGAAGCACCGGCUAACUCCGUGCCAGCAGCCGCGGUAAUACGGAGGGUGCGAGCGUUAAUCGGAAUUACUGGGCGUAAAGCGCAUGCAGGUGGUUUGUUAAGUCAGAUGUGAAAGCCCGGGGCUCAACCUCGGAAUUGCAUUUGAAACUGGCAGACUAGAGUACUGUAGAGGGGGUAGAAUUUCAGGUGUAGCGGUGAAAUGCGUAGAGAUCUGAAGGAAUACCGGUGGCGAAGGCGGCCCCCUGGACAGAUACUGACACUCAGAUGCGAAAGCGUGGGGAGCAAACAGGAUUAGAUACCCUGUAGCACAGAGAG